UACGUAGGGGGCUAGCGUUGUCCGGAAUCAUUGGGCGUAAAGCGCGUGUAGGCGGCCCGGUAAGUCCGCUGUGAAAGUCGGGGGCUCAACCCUCGGAUGCCGGUGGAUACUGCCGAGCUCGAGUCCGGAAGAGGCGAGUGGAAUUCCUGGUGUAGCGGUGAAAUGCGCAGAUAUCAGGAGGAACACCAAUGGCGAAGGCAGCUCGCUGGGACGUGACUGACGCUGAGACGCGAAAGCGUGGGGAGCAAACAG
rnacentral:rRNA from 1 species